GACCCCAUCGUCUAGUCUGGUUAGGACAUGGGCCUUUCGAGCCCAGUGCGCCGGUUCAAAUCCGGCUGGGGUCG
rnacentral:tRNA from 1 species